GCGACCAGUCACACCGCAAAAUUACAGCGUUGCGACGUACGAAAAGGUAACGCAGAUUGCGUGCGGUGUGGGCCAUGAGCAGUACGGUUGCCGUUGAAAUACGCUCCCUUACCAUCUGGAAAGAAGUUAUAAGUAAGAUGAACUGUGAGACUGGAAUUUGAACGUCUACACUGCCUCCAGAUUCGAGCUGGUAUCGGUCUAAUGUUAACUUCUCCUGGUGUGUACCGGUUCUGGAUUACAUGUAGGUGACGGAGAUUUGUGUAUCCCAGCAGUUGGAUUAGAUCUUCACCUAGGUUUUGAGGGCUGAUCAUUAAUACCUGCAAAAUGCAAUAAAAUGUUCACUGAAAUGUCUGUGUAGACAAGAUGUUACUGCAUAACAUUAAUAAAUAAUCUGUUUUCCUUGA